rnacentral:rRNA from 1 species
UACGUAGGGGCCUAGCGUUGUCCGGAAUUAUUGGGCGUAAAGAGCUUGUAGGCGGUCUGUCGCGUCUGCUGUGAAAAUCCGGGGCUCAACCCCGGACUUGCAGUGGGUACGGGCAGACUAGAGUGUGGUAGGGGAGACUGGAAUUCCUGGUGUAGCGGUGAAAUGCGCAGAUAUCAGGAGGAACACCGAUGGCGAAGGCAGGUCUCUGGGCCACUACUGACGCUGAGAAGCGAAAGCAUGGGGAGCGAACAGG